rnacentral:rRNA from 1 species
GACGAACGCUGGCGGCGUGCCUAAUACAUGCAAGUAGAACGCAGUUGCGAACGGGUGAGUAACGCGUAGGUAACUGCCUGGUAGCGGGGGAUAACUAUUGGAAACGAUAGCUAAUACCGCAUACUACCAGAUGGACCUGCGUUGUAUGAGCUAGUGGGUGGUGUAACGGCUCACCAAGGCAACGAUACAUAGCCGACCUGGUAGGGUGAUCGGCGAGACAGGGACUGAGACACGGCCCAGACUCAUACGGUAUGCAGCAGUAGGGAAUCUUCGGCAAUGGUGGGAACCCUGACCGAGCAACGCGGCGGGAGUGAAGAAGGUUUUCGGAUCGGAAAGCGCUGUUGUUAAAGAAGCGGUACUUAACCAGAAAGGGACGGCUAAGUACGUGCCAGCAGCCGCGGUAAUUC